UGGUUCUGAGCAAAGGCUGUUCGGCGGAACCUCCCUGCAGGUACACCUGCCUCUGGGGAUUGGAGAGGCACAGAGCAGAGCCCACUGCAAAAUUUGGGGAAGGAGAAAGUGCCAUUCGGAUGGGAACUGCUGGGACAACUGAGGGAACACCUUAGAGGUGGUCGCUUCCCUGCAGUGUUAGAAGGGCUAAGGAUGGGUUUCCUAAGCGUCAAGCCCACCUCACCUUUAAAAGGUGACAAAAUCGAGGUCCCCAGAGGGGAUCUGAAGGUCUAAGAUGACCAGAGAAGCGGGGCCCACUUGCUUUAGCGCCCCUCUCCUCUUUAAGUCUGGGCAAAACGAACCUCAGCCUUAGAAAAGAUUUGAGAUAGUAGGAGAAAUACAAAUGAUCAAUAAACUCAUAAAAAACAACGUGGCUCUAGAAGAGGCAGAUUUAAAGCAGACUUGUUUUCCUACCCAAUAUCCAGAAUUUGGUACCUUUUCACACAGUGAUUUUGCUGCUGGGAUUUGUCUUCAAGGAACAGUUGGAGAUGUGGGUGGAAAUUUUAAGAGAUGUGCAUUGCAGCUUUGUACAUAAUUUCAGAGGAUUGAAAAUAAGAGACUAGCUAGAUAAAUAAUGGACUUUGAAAUAUUAUUUCAAUGGCAUGCUACAUGAAUCUGUUGUAGAUGAUUUUAGUGAUAAAUAAAGACUAAAAUUUCAUGAACUUACCUGAAAUUUAAGAAUUUAAUAGGAAAAUGGUUCCAGGAAUGGAAAGUGUAAAUAGGGAAUAGAAAUCCAGUUAGAAUCACGAGCUCACUAUAGAAAACACAGAAAAAGAAACUAUGUUGAAAUAAUACUAAUCUCCCUGACUGUAUCUUAGGGUGGUUUUUAUUUUAUUCUUUGUCUCAUUCUAUGUUUUCCAAAUUCUCUACAAUGAAAUGGAUUAGAGCUAUCUCUUGUAUAGUCCCAUAUCAGCUGUUUAUUUCCCCACUAACUACCAUACCCAAUGUGGUAUUAAAAUACAGAUGCUUCUAAUUUCAUAUUAUUGCCUAAAACUGGCUCUAUCAAAUGCAGUUAUGUAUGUUUAGGUUAUUUUAGCUUCUGCUCUUUGUUAUGCAAUUGCUACAAAUACUAUUAGUAUUAUAUGUUUCGGAGUGAAAAUCAUAUGAUUUAAAGCAACUUUAUGCAGGUAUAAUUUAAUUGCUUCUUGAAUGUUAUUCAUAGGAAUAAUAUUCUUUUAUAAGCCAGAGGCUGCUAUAUUUUGGAAUUAUAAAGAGCUAUUAAUUCACUUUUUGUUCCUAGAGAUUGAUAGCUCUUCAUUUGUCCAUAAUGGGAAUAGUUCAUGUGUCCACCUGAAAUAUUAUAGGCACAAGGUCUAGGGCCAACAUACUUUUCAAGCACCUAGAAAAGAUAUAGAGAUUUGAAAAAAAAAUAUUGGCUCUAAUUUAUGAAAAAAAACUAAGAAACUAAAUUUUUAUUAAUAUUAAAUUUUCAUUACAUCUAAAACCAAUUUUCUCAUUUUGCAAGAAUUUCCACAUAUACAUACUAAUUGCUGAGUAAUUUCAACAGCAAAAUUUUUGAUGAAAAUUGCAUUUAAUGGAGGAUGUGAGUUCACUUUGGUAUUUUAAAUACUGGAUAUAGUGUAAGGUAGCACAUUACAAAAUAAAUCUUCCAGUCCCUCAAAGAUCUUACACUUUAUGUGACCUAAAGUUAGUGACCAGGAAUAAACAUCUUUCAGAGGUCUCUAUGAUAGUUACCAUGAAAGUGUGGCUUUUUAAAGUGUUUGAUAAAUUCUCCUCAGUGUUUCCAACUCUAGAAGUUGCUAUUGGCCUUUUAUAAGCACUUUGAACUAACCUUGACACUGUAGAUUCUCUCCAAGAAUUUCCUGUUUCCCAAGGUUUCUUUUGGAGACUAUGGAAAUUUCUGUAUAGCUAGUCCACACCAUCCAAGACUGCCAACAUAACCCAAAAACUCUCAUUGAAGAAAACUAGGGAGAUUGGGUCACUCUAAUAGGCACCAACAUCUUGGGAGGCUCUAAACCCAGUUGAGUUACACCUCUGUGGUGUGUUAACUAUAUAUGUAUAUUAUUCUUUUGACUUUUUUCCACACAGCCUUGGGCAUACAAGGGCAGGAAGAAAAGAGUCGUAUAAGGAACAGCCCUAACUUCUUCAGAUUCUCAAUUGUUUUUUAAUUGAGCUACAGAUUAUAUUAAACUUUUUAUAAUCUAGGAAAAUAACACAAAUGUUGAUUCAGAUGCAGUAGACCUUGUAUACCAUUCAUGAAAUCGUUAUUCCCAAGAAAAGUAGAGCUAAUCAUUUUUAUAGAUAUUGAAUUCCUAAUAUAUACUAGACAUUGUUGUAGGUGCUUAGGAGAGAUGAGUGCCAGAAAAUAGACAAACAUCCCUGCUUUGUAACAGUUUUUCCGAUCUCAAAAGUAACUUGGAUUUAGUCUCUCAAGCAGGUAAGCUAUAAACAUGGGAAAGCAUUUUCUGUUAUGUGAGCAGAAGUUAUGUCACUAAUAUAUUCACCUCCUAUCUAACCUGGAAACCACAACUUAUGCUCAACAAUCUUAGCAAUAAGUUCCUUUAAAAUUGUAGUGUUUAGAAUAGAGAUACUGGUGACAUGUUCAUAUGUGUGCAAUAAUUUCCUACAGGUAUUGCGAUUUCUUUUAUUAGGUAACAAUGUAAAGUAGAAAGUAAACCCCCUCCAAGAACAUGGGUUACUGAGAGAUUUGCACACAUUCAUAAAGCAGAAGUGUCACUUUAUAAAGCAUUUUUUUUGCAUCUUUUUCCAGGAUGGGUAAAAAGAUAAAAAAGGAAGUAGAACCUCCUCCUAAAGAUGUGGUAAGUUUCUGAUUUGAAUACUAGUAGCUUUAACCACCAGUUUUAAAAAUAAAUUGUUCGGUUUGGCAUGUACCAGUACAUACAUGAAUACAUGGUGGCAGAAGUCCAAAGUCUGACUAAUGAUAAGAUUAGUCAGAGAAAUCUAACAUUAGAUAAACAAACAUCUACAACAUUGUCAUUAUAUAAUUAGCACAAUUAAGGAGUAAUUGUUAGUUUUUCCAGUAUGUGGAUGGCAUGUUUAUAGCCUUGUUAAUGAAUAAAUAGUUUUAAUUCAUUCUUUUAAAUACUUCAGGGUUACAUUUGCCAGUCUUUCAUUAAUGUGAAUUACCCAAGUGAAUUUUUGAAAAUUCACUUUAGAAGUCAUGCUAUAGCUCUAAGACAUGUGUAAAGGAUUGUCUGUGGAUAACCUUGGACAUGAGAAGUCCUGUAUUUUCUAGUUCUAACAAAAGAGUCUCCUGGAAUAAUUCCCCACCACAGUAGGCCCUUCUUUCUCUUAAUAGCACAAUUUUAUUUGCUCCCUUUAAUCAAUUGCUAAAAGAUUGUGUUAAAAACAGAAAGUGACCUUUGACAACUUUUGGUUUAGAAACAUUUCAAAACAGAUGUUUGUUGUGAUUUUCUUCAGAUGGGAUCUGAAUAGAAAAGAAAUGAAGAUAGUGCCCAGACUCGGAGACUUUUAAAUUUUGCAAGAAACUUUGAGCUUCCUACAGAAACUUCCCCUCCAGAAUGGAGCAUUGUGGUUAAGACCAAAAGCUUUGUCCCAGCUUGGCCUCUCAUGAGCUGUGUUAUUUUGGCCACUUUGCCAAAAUUGGCCAAGUUAUUUCAGUAUUUUCUUAUCUCUUACAUGAGAAUUGUACUCUCAAACUCAUUUGGAUCGUUGUAUGAAUUAAACCAAAAUGAAUUACAUAAAAUUCUGGGUGCCUAGGAGCUAGCAUUCAGUAAAUAAGAUCUAUUAUGGGAAUCCCCUGGAUUGUGCUUUAUACACACACACACACACACACCUUUCAGAGGUCUCUAUGAUAGUUACCAUGAAAGUGUGGCUUUUUAAAGUGUUUGAUAAAUUCUCCUCAGUGUUUCCAACACUAGAAGUUGCUAUUGGCCUUUUAUACACACACACAAACACACACACCCUAUCAACAUAGGUGUGAUACUUCAACAGAGGAACAAAAACCAUAGAAGCACCUGUCUGCUUCAGGCCAGGAAGCCUUUGCAGACGCGAUCACUGUGGUCGCGUGAUGUCAUUUCAUUCUGGCUGCUUUCCUUUGGACACACUCCUAAAACGUGGCAGAUCCUAUUUACUCCGUGCGUCCUAGGUUUGCAUUACCCCGCUUUUUAUUGCCAAAUAGCAUUAUUGGCAUCUUAGCAGAAAGUCGACUCAGGAACAUAGCUCUUGGCAAGAAACACACUCUGAUUAGAAUAAACAAUAGAUAAAUUUGUCUUAAUACCCUUUCUAUAAUUUCAUAAUGUAUUGCUGGGAUUGUUCUUUCUACUCCAGUCUUUGGGGAUACAGUGGAGGACUAAAGAAAUUCAAUCUUCCUUCCUGGGUUCCCAACAUCCUUGAGGGUAGCCAAAGACACCUGUGACAAUUACCAGUGGUCCCUGACUAUUUAUUGCCUAUUCCAAGGGCUUUCCAUCCUUCUCCUACUCUGACUUUUUGUUAACAAAGCUGAGAGAGUUGCAUGAAAAUAUCUAAUCCCUUUUCUUCCUUAUAAAUUCAAAUACUUCAAAACAGGUAUCCUAACCCAGAACUUGUUUCAAAGUCUGCCUCUUCACAGUCUAUGAAAGUUCUGUUCUACAAACUGUAAAUGAAAACCAGAUUUAAAAGAGGAAUAUACAAAUGCAUAAGAAAAUAAACUAAUAAACUAACAAACUAAUAAACUAAUGGUAAUCUGUUCACCAUAUAUUUCCUGAGCAUUGUUUCCAAUGAUUUUAACUUUUAAUUAGCAUUUUGUCUACUGCUUAAAAUGGGUAAUAGAGAGAACAAGGGUAUUUGGAGAUAUGAUUAGAACAAGACAGUUCCUUGGUUUUCAUAAUUUUCUCAUUGUUCAUAACAUUCAUUAAUAUACACAUAUGUGGUUUCUGGAUCUACACUUCCUUCUCAUGAAAGGGACACCAGCUAAGAAGUUGCCUAGAUAUGGAGAAGAUACUGUUUGAAUGACCAACACGGGACGUUCUGCCUUCCCAAAUCACUUUCAUGUUGGGCUGAAAGGUUGUUUGUGAUGCUUUAAUAAAAGAAAAGUUCCUGUGGAAUGACUGCACAAAAGAAUCCCUAAUAUAAAGGAUUCUACAAAGCAUUCUUUAGUAUAAAGCAAGAUAUUCGGUGACUAAGAGCAUAGAUUCUGGAGUUACACUGCUUAAGUUUAAUCCUCAUUCCACCCACCUUCUUCCCACUUCGGGCAAGUUUCCUACCCUCUGUGUACCACAGUGAGGAUGGAAUGCUACCUACUUCAUUGGACUACCCAGUGAAGAUCAGAUAAGAAUAAGGUACUUAGAACAGUGCCUAACACUAGGUAAGAAUUUAGCAAAUGUUGUUGAUAGUAAAGAUGUAGUUGAGGGUGCUGUUCCUCAUUCUGCAGAACAGACGAGUUUGUAUCAACUGUCCAAGCAGGCAGGGCUAUCAGAUGUGGGAAGCCAGUUGGCCAUGAAUGCUCCCAGGAGCCUGGUGUUCAGCCACCAUGAUUCAUGGUCAGGCCUUUUUGAGUUUGCAAGGGUGGAAAUUGUGUUCUCUCAAUAUUUCAGAGGUGACUGAGCAUCAGUGAAUAAACCUACAGUAUCUUAAGUUCUCAUUAGACUGACACCUGGCCCUAAAAUCUUAAGGAUUAAGGAUCAAGUUACCUGAACAUUUGUGUUAAUGGAUCAGCACUUUCUAGCAUGGUGAUUAUCAAAUCAAAGCAACAGAAAAUAAUAGAACAUGUUCCCCCACUUGGGCUCUAAAUCCAUUUCCUGGUAAGAGUGGGUUGUCUCCUGGGGAAUUGCUUUUCCCAGACCUUCAUCAUCAGUCUCAGAACUUAACCUUUAAUCAUUUGUCAUAGGCUGAUAGCACUGCCACUUUUUGUUUUUUAACAAAGGACCAAAGGGAGUUAUUUUCUGAUCUUUCUCCCUCAUCACAGAUAGACAAAAACACCAUGAAUUAAUUAAAAAGAAUCAACUCAUAAACAUACACAUAAAUAAUAAUACACAUAAAUGACAUACACGUGUGGUUCAUUAUCAGUUUGCUUUCUUUUCUCUAAAAGUUUGCUGCUUUUAUUUAGGUUGUAAAGUAAACUAAAGGCAAAUUCAGCUAUAUUUAUUUUAACCGUUGGAUAUUUUAGCAGAUUGCUACCAAUGUCUAGAUUUCUCUACUAAAAGUUCAUAUUAGAUGAGUGCAACUUACUUCCGGCUGUCUGUCUGGUUCUGUCCUAGGCAACUGGAUCCUCAUGAUCUGAGACCACUGAUGUGGUAAACACAUUCCAUUAAAAAUCAAAAGAGCCUUUUAUUUUCACAUAUUGCCACCAUAAAAGUCACUCGACUCUCAUGAUCUAUCUGUUUCCACUGAGCUCAACUUAAUAGCUUUGUACUCUUUUCAGCCUUGGCUGUAUGAUACAGUAAUCAUUAGCUAUAUGUAGUUAUUUUAAUUUAAGUCUAUAACAAUUAAAAUUAACAACCAAAAAGUGAUUAAGAAUUCAGUUCCUCAGUCUCAUUGGCCACAUUUAAAUUGCUCAAGAGCCACACACGACCUGUGAAUGGCAUAUUGAACAACACGAAAUCGAAACAUUUCCAUCAGUGAAGUUUCAUGGACACCAUCAUUCUUGACAAGUCUUAUUUCUUUAACAGAGAUAUAAAAUUUCUUUAUGAGUCUCUGGCCUCUCCAACUGACGGGGCUUAAAAUGCAAAGCUUAGCCAAAAAUGCUUCCCCUUUCUUCGAUUCUUUCUGUAAAUAAUUUUGUUUCGUCAUUUAUUUUGUACAGAGCGCGAAAUUAUAAUUUCACAACAAGCUUGUUGGUGACUGCAGCUUCCUCAUGGGAAAGCAGAUGGGACGUGUAAUUACAGCACAGUAUUAUUUAUUUAGUCAUGUGGCAUUCUGUUAUAGCUAUCAUUUUAUUCUCAGUGCCUUUUUAAAUAAAAAAUUACUAUAAUGCUGUAGGCACCGUAGGAGAAACAAAUGCCAUGCCAAGUAUCUCCAUUCUCUGCCAAACACUGGUAUUUCUUCUGCUUUGACAGCUCUUUGAUUGUAAUUCUCAUGGUCUCUAUCUUCCCUUUAAGCUUCUCAUACCCUAAAUUGCCUUCUUAAUGAUGUCCGGAAGAUACGGCAAAAUACUGGAGUGUUUUCUAAAUCAUUCAGACAGAUUAAAUGAUAUUUACUCUAGUUUUUGUUUAAAUGUAUUUUCAUGUAUUCUACUCCUUUAAGAACUGUAGUCACUCUAUGCAGAUCACAGCAUGGCCAUGCUUAAUCAUAGAUUUAGUCACAUGUUUAUUUAAAAAUAUCAAAGUAUUUUUAAAUAGGCCCUAGGUCAAGGCAGACAACAGGCAGGCCUGCAGUGCCAAGUACUCAGGGAGCUAAGUCAGGAGGAUUGCCUGAGUCGGAAAAUUUAACACUAUCCUAGGAGACAUAGAAAAACCCCAACUCAAAAAGAAUUCUUUUUUUUUGAACAAUUACUUGGGAGACUGAAACAGGAGGAUCACAAGUUUCAGGCCAGCCUUGGCAACUUAGCAAGAUCCUGUCUCGAAAUGAAAAAUUCUGUAGAAGCAGGGGAUGUAAUUGAGUGGUACAGUGCCCCUGGGUUCCAUCUCUGGUACCACACAAUAAGCAAACAAACAGACUUAGAAAGUGAAAGUUCUCAAAUGGAAGGAAAAUCUGUUCUGAAUGCAGGGUCCAGUGACCAGCUGGAACAUUGGGGAAGCUGCUCUGAGUAGGAAAGGCUGUCUAAGGAAUUGGUGGACCAUCAGGGAAAUGUAGGAAUAGGAUGAAAAUGGAGAUCCUUUCCCCACAAAAAUGCACUGCAAACCUCCUUUUGCACAGAUGCAGUACAAAAAGAAGCCCAUCAAUGGCUCCAUGAACUCAGAUUUAGGUUUCCUGACAACAGAUGGCAGUACCCAGUUAAAGCACUUUAAGACCACACGUAUAAAAAGUUUCCAGGGGUCCUUUAAUACAUUCCUUCACAAUCAUGUGUUAAGUACUUCCAUUUCUGCUGAGAGCCAUAGUCAAGUAGGAAUGACGCAUGGCAAUUUCCUUGUCAGCCUACCCAAUGUUGCUUAGAGGGAGGACUCUCCAUUGUGGAAAUGGGCUUGCCUUGGACCCAGGUCAUUUGCAGUGACAUUGCAUGAAUGUUUGAGAAAGGUGACCCUGCUCAAGGACCAGGGUGGAUCCGGGUUUAGGGUGGAUCUGGGUUUAGGGUGGGUCCCUGCUGGGAAUAGGGCGGUUCCAGGUUUAAGGUGGAUCUUGCUGGGAAUAGGGUGUAUCCUGCUGCCUCAGGCGCCCGCUCCUUGAGUUCCUGUUGAGUUCUCCCGAGAUUCAGAGAGUAUUUGGUAUGCAGAGCCUGGUGGAGUGUGUGGAUUUUCCCCAGAACGUGCGUGUAGAGUGCUGGUGACAGUUCGGGAAUAAAGAGUUGCUGUUUGAAUGAAUCUACAAGGGUUUUGUGGUGGCUCGGUUAUUUUGUGUCCAGCCAGACUGCGGCAAUAUUCCAGUACUGUUCUUUGGUAAUGCAGAUAGAUAAAUACUAACAUGGUCCUUUGCCUGAAGAAAUUCCUUCACUAAUUGGGCAAAUAUUGAGAGCAUACCAUUGCAAAUGUUCUAUAUCUUGAGCAUAAAGAUGGAAACAAAACAAAGUUCAGCUCCAAGGCAACUAUAUUCUAGUGAGAGAAGCAGUCACUUAACCAUAUAACUCAGGAAGUAAUGAUAUCAAUAAAGAAAAAUAAAGUGGGAUGUGAGAUAGUGAGUGAUGGGACUACUAGGAACAGGAUCUAGGUCAGGCAGAGUUCCUAGUGGGGUCACAUUUGAAAAAGACUUAAAUGAAAUGAGGGACUAUGCUGUGCGCAUAUCUGAGGGGAGAACCAUAGCCAGAAAACAAUAACCAAAGCUUUACAUGUGCUUAAGGAAUGCCAAGGAAGUUGGGGUAGCUGGAGAUUAGUAAUCAAGGAGUAGGAGCUGGGCCACAAAGAUGGUGGGAGCUGAGUGAUCACAAAGAGCCUUUUAGGAAGAUGAAUUUUUUUUUCUAAUGUACAAAAAGUAGAAUUCACUGGAAAGUUUCAGGGAGAAGAGUAGUGAUGUCUGGUUUAUUUUUAAAACAAAAAAGAAUAUCAGUCUAUCUACAUUGUGGAAGAAGGGUGAAAACCAGAAGGCCUAUCUGGGGCCCAUUUCCAAAGCACCAUUAAGAUAUCUUGGCAGUCAGGACCAAGAGAUGACAGUGAAGGAGGAGAGAAGUGAGGAUAUAUACUGAAAGUGAUGCUGAGAGGAUUUACUGAUAGAUUAUACCCAUAGUGUGGGAAGGAGAGGAGCUGAAUGAUUUUUCAAGAUUUGGGGCCUUGGCAACUGAGUGGAUGAUGAUACAACAUACUAAAUAGACAAGAAGUCCAAGAAGCAAUGCAGUUGGUAUUAUGUGCUGUUACAGAGAAGUUCAGAAGAAUGUAGCUGUGAUAAAAUAAAAAGAAAGUUCAAGGAUUUUUCACAUCCAAACCAUAAUGAAGAAAAACAAUCAACAUUUGUCCAGAAAACUGCAGGCUUGACAAUGAAAUAAACCAUAAUCUUCUGUAGUCUUAAAUAUUCUUUUAAUCCUUUAGAAAUGAAAUUAAACUAUCAAGAAGUGGUAGGUGGCAUAGUGAUCACUAAUGGUGUCCCCAGAGAGAGCUAUAUAGGUGAUUCAAUAAGGGGGAAAGUCAGAUUGGAUUGGGCAGCCAGGUGUGAGAGUGAAAAAAUGGAGAAAAAUACAUAGUUUGUAAGGUUUUUGGCUGUGAAAGGGAAGGAAAAGUAGGAUGGUAUAUGGAGGAUGAUUCAUAUCUAAGGAAAGUUUGUUUUUGUUCUAAUAAGAGCUUUGAGAAAUUAAGAGUUCUGAAAGACUAAGGUGGCUGCAGUUUGCAGGACAGGGUACCAUAAAGGAGGGAAGAACAUAGAGAAAUAUCUCCUGAAAUCUGGUUAAUGGUCCUCGUGGGUCUUUGAAUUUUAAGCUUUACAAGGGGGAACUACACAUGGCAAGGAACAUGCACAAACAACUACCAGGAAGCUGUCAACUGAAUAAUUUUUAAAGUUCAGACAGGUCCAGGAAACAAUGCAAUUUUGACCAGAAAGAGUAAAAAGCCUUAUUGAACACUUGAGGCAUCAUCAGAUAGAGUCUCAAAGAGGAUCAUGCCUUAGUAGUAGCAUGACUAAACUAGUUCUAUAGUAAAAGGCUCCAUAGGGCUUCCAUAAUAAAGCUAAAAACAGGCCUUAAAUAGAUCUAGCUGAUCCAUAGAACAAAAUUCAAUAUAUUUUAAGAGAUGAUUCCUCUCUCCUUGCUACCAUAAAAAAAAUCUAUACACUCAACUACAUAACUUUCACAAUGUAAGUUUCCAACAGAAAAUGAUUAGAUAUGCAAAAAAGGAAAAUAUGACCCAUAACCAGUAAAACAGUCAAUCAAUAAGCCACUAGAGGAGAUAAAAUAGGACACUAAAUAUAUAUAUAUAUAUAUAUAUAUAUAUAUAUAUAUAUAUAUAUAUAUAUAUAUAUAUGUGUGUGUGUGUGUGUAUUAUUCAAGAGAAGAAAGGAACAGAGGAGCAGGAAACAAAUGGGGCAAAGUGAAAACAAAUAGCAAGAUGAUCAAUUAAAAGUUCAACUAUAUCAAUAAUUAUACUAAAUAUAAAUGACCUAAUAUUCCAAUAAAAAGUGAGAGAUUGUCAAAUGAGUAAAAAGCAAGACCUGGGAAACUCCUUUAAACAUAAAGAUGCAUAUAGAUUAAAAUUUAAAGCAUAGAAAAAGAAACAUACAUGCUUCCCUAUAUUCCCUAAUUAUAAGGAAUCUAGGGUGACUGUGUUAUCAUCAGACAACAAUUGCAGGACAAAGAAUAUUACCAAAGAAAAAGAUGAAAAUAUUAUAAUGAUAAAAUUUUUAUUUAAUUAACUGAUUAGCUUAUUAUUUAUUUAUUUUUGGUACUGGGUAUUGAACCCAGGGGUGCUUAACCACUGAGCCACAUUCCCAGCCCUUUUUAUUUUUUAUUUGAGACAAGGUCUCGCUAAGUUUUGUAGGGUCUUGCUAAAUUGCUGAGGCUGGCUUUGAAUUUAUAAUCCUCCUGUCUCAGCCUCCUAAGCUCCUGGGAUUACAGGUAUAUGCCAGCAGCCCUGCUUAUGUGAUUUUUAAAGCUCAUAUGUGAACCUUAUAUUUUUCUCUUUGCAUUUCAGUUUGAUCCAUUAACAAUCGAAAGCAAAAAAGCAGCAACCGUGGUGUUAAUGCUUAAUUCUCCUGAAGAAGAAAUUUUGGCUAAAGCAUGUGAAGCCAUUUAUAAAUUUGCUUUAAAAGGUUUGGAUUUUUUCAGUUUAUCUUUCUACUUCAUUAGUUACUUAAAAUAUUUACUACAUAAUGGGCACUUUUCUCCCUAAUCUUUCACUUCCCUUCCUAUUAGAUGAAUUCUUCCUGACAGCUGGAAUCUCAU
rnacentral:lncRNA from 1 species